rnacentral:rRNA from 1 species
CAAAGAUUAAGCCAUGCAUGUCUCAGUACAAGCCAAAUUAAGGUGAAACCGCGAAAGGCUCAUUAAAUCAGUUAUGGUUCCUUAGAUCGUACCCACAUUUACUUGGAUAACUGUGGUAAUUCUAGAGCUAAUACAUGCAAACAGAGCUCCGACCGGAGACGGAAGGAGCGCUUUUAUUAGAUCAAAACCAAUCGGUGGCGGGUCUCCCGUCACCGUACACCUUGGUGACUCUGAAUAACUUAUUGCUGAUCGCACGGUCUCGCACCGGCGACGCAUCUUUCAAAUGUCUGCCUUAUCAACUGUCGAUGGUAGGUUCUGCGCCUACCAUGGUUGUAACGGGUAACGGGGAAUCAGGGUUCGAUUCCGGAGAGGGAGCCUGAGAAACGGCUACCACAUCCAAGGAAGGCAGCAGGCGCGCAAAUUACCCACUCCCGGCACGGGGAGGUAGUGACGAAAAAUAACGAUACGGGACUCAUCCGAGGCCCCGUAAUCGGAAUGAGUACACUCUAAACCCUUUAACGAGGAUCAAUUGGAGGGCAAGUCUGGUGCCAGCAGCCGCGGUAAUUCCAGCUCCAAUAGCGUAUAUUAAAGUUGUUGCGGUUAAAAAGCUCGUAGUCGAAUUUGUGUCCCGCGCCGCCGGUUCAUCGCUCGCGGUGUCAACUGGCGUGUCCGCGGGACGUCCUGCCGGUGGGCUUAGCUCCUCGCGGGGCGGCCCAAUCUCAAUCCCACCGCGGUGCUCUUCAUUGAGUGUCGAGGUGGGCCGGCACGUUUACUUUGAACAAAUUAGAGUGCUUAAAGCAGGCUAAAACAUCGCCUGAAUACUGUGUGCAUGGAAUAAUGGAAUAGGACCUCGGUUCUAUUUUGUUGGUUUUCGGAACCCCGAGGUAAUGAUUAAUAGGAACGGAUGGGGGCAUUCGUAUUGCGACGUUAGAG